CGGUGCCUAUACAUGCAGUCGAACGAACUCUGGUAUUGAUUGGUGCUUGCAUCAUGAUUUACAUUUGAGUGAGUGGCGAACUGGUGAGUAACACGUGGGAAACCUGCCCAGAAGCGGGGGAUAACACCUGGAAACAGAUGCUAAUACCGCAUAACAACUUGGACCGCAUGGUCCGAGUUUGAAAGAUGGCUUCGGCUAUCACUUUUGGAUGGUCCCGCGGCGUAUUAGCUAGAUGGUGGGGUAACGGCUCACCAUGGCAAUGAUACGUAGCCGACCUGAGAGGGUAAUCGGCCACAUUGGGACUGAGACACGGCCCAAACUCCUACGGGAGGCAGCAGUAGGGAAUCUUCCACAAUGGACGAAAGUCUGAUGGAGCAACGCCGCGUGAGUGAAGAAGGGUUUCGGCUCGUAAAACUCUGUUGUUAAAGAAGAACAUAUCUGAGAGUAACUGUUCAGGUAUUGACGGUAUUUAACCAGAAAGCCACGGCUAACUACGUGCCAGCAGCCGCGGUAAUACGUAGGUGGCAAGCGUUGUCCGGAUUUAUUGGGCGUAAAGCGAGCGCAGGCGGUUUUUUAAGUCUGAUGUGAAAGCCUUCGGCUCAACCGAAGAAGUGCAUCGGAAACUGGGAAACUUGAGUGCAGAAGAGGACAGUGGAACUCCAUGUGUAGCGGUGAAAUGCGUAGAUAUAUGGAAGAACACCAGUGGCGAAGGCGGCUGUCUGGUCUGUAACUGACGCUGAGGCUCGAAAGUAUGGGUAGCAAACAGGAUUAGAUACCCUGGUAGUCCAUACCGUAAACGAUGAAUGCUAAGUGUUGGAGGGUUUCCGCCCUUCAGUGCUGCAGCUAACGCAUUAAGCAUUCCGCCUGGGGAGUACGGCCGCAAGGCUGAAACUCAAAGGAAUUGACGGGGGCCCGCACAAGCGGUGGAGCAUGUGGUUUAAUUCGAAGCUACGCGAAGAACCUUACCAGGUCUUGACAUACUAUGCAAAUCUAAGAGAUUAGACGUUCCCUUCGGGGACAUGGAUACAGGUGGUGCAUGGUUGUCGUCAGCUCGUGUCGUGAGAUGUUGGGGUUAAGUCCCGCAACGAGCGCAACCCUUAUUAUCAGUUGCCAGCAUUAAGUUGGGCACUCUGGGUGAGACUGCCGGUGACAAACCGGAGGAAGAGGUGGGGGAGAACGUCAAAUCAUCAUGGCCCCUUAUGACCGGGGGUACACACUGGCUCCAAUGGGAGGGGGCA
rnacentral:rRNA from 2 species